CACCCGUGGGUGGGGGAGGGUCAGAGGUGGGGGUCACCCAUGGGUGUGUGUGGGGGAGGGUCACCCUUAGGUGAUGGGUCGGGGUCACCCAUGGGUGGGGGAGGGUCACCCCCAGGUGACGUCCCUGUUGGUGGGUAGGGGUCACCCAUGGGUGGGGGUCACCCCCAGAUGAUGUGGGGUCGGGGUCACCCCCAUGUGACGUCCCUGUCGGUGGGGGAGGGUCAGAGGU